CUUGAGCUGGUCGAGGCCUGCACAUGAACAUAUGGCUAUGGAACCUGCCAAAAUGAGUGCCGAGUUUUUCAUCAGUACUGCCAAGGUGCUUCCGUCCGAGGUUCGUUCUUUGAGGAAAGAGAGUGAGUUGCUGUCAGCAGGAAUCAAGAGCAAGGUGGGACAGGAUUGCCACAAAGUUUGAAUGUGCAGCUGGGCCACUUACAGAGAAACUGUAAUUUCCUGUGUAAAUCUGCAUUUUGCUUCUUCUGCCGUUUCAAGGCAUGUUAGCUUCUGAUUUCUCUUCACAUAUUCCACACAAUCUCUUUCAGUUACCCACAUGCAGCUAAACAAAUCACAUAACCCUUUGCUGUGAUCCCCUUAUCCAGCAAGUUAAAGCACUUGGCGUUGUUCUGUGGUUCCAUGAGCAUCUAAAACUUCUCCGUUUAAUGCGCCAAAGAAAAAAACUGCUACUGCUGAGUCCCCAAAAUGGUGUUUGGUUCCUGUGCUUCUGAUGAAGGGCUGCUGGUCUGCAAAAUGAAAACUCACGAUCACUGUGGACAAAAAUUACAUACUGCACCAUUGAGAAUAUGCCAAAAUGCUGAGAAAGCUCGAAACAGAAAGAAACCAAUCUGUUCAGAGUUCGUGGUCCAUCUAAGCAUAAAUGUGGCAAGGAGCUACACCAAAGGUUAUUCUACUGUUGUCUUUUCUAAAUCAGCAUUAAUUGUGAUUGGCUUUCUGUGAUGACGCAUACACGAUCGAUUGUAAAACACAUAAAUAACGGUGGAUGGGAUCAGUUACAUCUCCUUAUUGCCCACCAAAAAUGAAAUGCAUGUCCAGGCUGACUACUCCAUUUGGUUUUGGAGCUCUGCAGAUAUUAGAAUUGCAUACUUGUGCACGCUUCAAACUGUUGCCAUGUUUAUUAGUAUGGGCUAACUGGAUCCCAAAGCAUUAGAUGGCUGUGAAAAUGGGACACCAAACUUCGGUUUCUUCUGCAGGCUCACAGUGGUGUGAGGUUCUAGAACUUGCUUUUGGGUCCAGGAGUUUGCAAGGUUGGUGCUUUAGCACAUAGCUUUUAGCCUAUCUUCUGUGGGAUGUAAUUGUAAUUCUGCUCCCGCUGUGCUACUAGUUUCUAUUCAUAUUUUUUGUAAGAAACCAAAACGUGUACAUUGGUGUUAGCAGCAGCUUUCUUUUUGCCUGCAUACCCCGAUUUGAUUUAUAAUCUAGAUGUUGUCAGCAUCUGACUCUAAUUAACUGGAUAAAUGAAGUUGAGAAGAUCUUGACUGAAUUAGCAGUUGAAGAAUGCAUCUUACCAGAAGCAGAUGGAGAGAAAAAACAGUGUGUUUAGUUUAUGGCCAUUCCCCUGGUUUAUGGCCAUUUCCUAUUUUAAGGGGAAAAGUUCUGCCAAAUCAAUUCUUGUCAAAUGCUAAUUAAAUUAUAGUGAUGAUUAAUCCUGAUGUAAAUACAUUAUUUCAAUGUUUAGGAGACUUAUAAAUAGUUAGAAGACUUAAGAGGAGUUGUGAGUACAUACUUAACCUGGAGUGCAUUUGGGAGAGAGAAAAUGCCAAUUAGAUAAUUCAGUGACAGUUUAUAUAGUUUAAGUUAUCCUUUGUAAAUAAUGUUUGUUGUUUUUAGCCUUUGCUGUAGAUAGAACUCAGCUAAAUCUUUUCGUUGGUGAAAAAUUCCUCAGAGUGACAUUUGUACCAUUCUCUUCAACAGACUUGUCUCACAGAAAUCUUAGCAUAUUACAGAAAGAAUAAAAAAAAAAAAAAAAGGACA
rnacentral:lncRNA from 1 species